CCUACGGGUGGCUGCAGUGGGGAAUAUUGGACAAUGGGGGGAACCCUGAUCCAGCCAUGCCGCGUGUGUGAAGAAGGCCCUCGGGUUGUAAAGCACUUUCAGUGAGGAAGAACGCCUGGUGGUUAAUACCCAUCAGGAAAGACAUCACUCACAGAAGAAGCACCGGCUAACUCCGUGCCAGCAGCCGCGGUAAUACGGAGGGUGCAAGCGUUAAUCGGAAUUACUGGGCGUAAAGCGCGCGUAGGUGGCUUGAUAAGCCGGUUGUGAAAGCCCCGGGCUCAACCUGGGAACGGCAUCCGGAACUGUCAAGCUAGAGUGCAGGAGAGGAAGGUAGAAUUCCCGGUGUAGCGGUGAAAUGCGUAGAGAUCGGGAGGAAUACCAGUGGCGAAGGCGGCCUUCUGGACUGACACUGACACUGAGGUGCGAAAGCGUGGGUAGCAAACAGGAUUAGAUACCCGAGUAGUC
rnacentral:rRNA from 1 species